UCCGAGUUGACCCCGGCAGUCUCCCAUGAGUCCCCACCAUUACGUGCUGGCAACAUGGAACGAGGGUUGCGCUCGUUGCGGGACUUAACCCAACAUCUCACGACACGAGCUGACGACAACCAUGCACCACCUGUUCACGAGUGUCCAAAGAGUCCCCUAUUUCUAGGGUGUUCUCGCGUAUGUCAAGCCUUGGUAAGGUUCUUCGCGUUGCAUCGAAUUAAUCCGCAUGCUCCGCCGCUUGUGCGGGUCCCCGUCAAUUCCUUUGAGUUUUAGCCUUGCGGCCGUACUCCCCAGGCGGGGCACUUAAUGCGUUAGCUUCGGCACGGAAGGAGUCGACACCUCCCACACCUAGUGCCCAUCGUUUACGGCGUGGGCUAC
rnacentral:misc_RNA from 1 species